rnacentral:misc_RNA from 1 species
UCCGUAGGUGAACCUGCGGAAGGAUCAUUACCGAGUUCUGGGGCCCUCGCGGCCCCGCUCUCCCACCCCAUGUUUACCGACCUCCGUUGCCUCGGCGGGCCCGCGGGCCCCGCCUGCCGCCGGCCCCUUCUGGGGCGGGCCAGCGCCCGCCAGAGGACCAACCCAACUCCGCGUGAACCAGCCGUCUGAGCACAACGAGAAAUCAAUCAAAACUUUCAACAACGGAUCUCUUGGUUCUGGCAUCGAUGAAGAACGCAGCGAAAUGCGAUAAGUAAUGUGAAUUGCAGAAUUCAGUGAAUCAUCGAAUCUUUGAACGCACAUUGCGCCCCCUGGUAUUCCGGGGGGCACGCCUGUUCGAGCGUCAUUUCAACCCUCAGGCCCCCGGUCUGACGUUGGGCGCGGCCCCCUCUGGCGGGGCCCGCCUCAAACCCCUCGGCGCCGCCGUCCGUCCCCGAGCGCAGCGAGUUCUGCCCGCGCUACUGGAACGGGCCGCCGGCCGCCGGCGAACCCCUUCUCACGGUUGACCUCGGAUCAGGUGGGGAUACCCGCUGAACUUAAGCAUAUCAAUAA